UACGUAGGUGGCAAGCGUUGUCCGGAUUUACUGGGCGUAAAGAGCGCGCAGGCGGUCGUUCAAGUCGCGUGUGAAAGCCCCCGGCUCAACUGGGGAGGGUCACGCGAUACUGAUCGACUCGAAGGCAGGAGAGGGAAGUGGAAUUCCCGGUGUAGUGGUGAAAUGCGUAGAUAUCGUAAGGAAGACCAGUGGCGAAGGCGGGUCUCUGGACAGUUCCUGACGCUGAGGCACGAAGGUCAGGGGAGCAAACAGG
rnacentral:rRNA from 1 species